UGUAAAAAAUUUAACUUAACUAUUAGGUAACAGAACCAAAUCACUUAUGAUUAUGAACUAAGAAAUCAAUGAAAAUAUAAUGAGUACAUUGAAAAUAUUCGUCACUACCAAUGAAGUGAUUAAAUGUUCAAUAAUUUAUUUAUUUAUUGAAAUUAAAUUCUAAAAUAAUAAUAAUCAUUUAAGUAAAUAUUAAAUAAUUAGUAAUAGAAUUAAAUCACUUAUGAUUAUGAACUAAGAAAUCAAUGAAAAUAUAAUGAGUACAUUGAAAAUAUUCGUCACUACCAAUGAAGUGAUUUGUGAAUGUUAAUUAAUUUAUUUAUUGAUAUGGAAAUCUGUUGUAAAAAAUUUAACUUAACUAUUAGGUAACAGAACUAACUCACUUAUGAUUAUGAACUAAGAAAUCAAUGAAAAUAUAAUGAGUGUAUUGAAAAUAUUCGUCACUACCAAUGAAAUGAUUUGUAAUUAUUCUGUUAUUUAUUCCAACUAAAUUGAUAUAAAAAUCUAAAAAAAUAAUCAGUUAAGUAAAUAUAUUAAUUCAGCAGUUAAUUUGUGUGUCUAAAUUUAUUAUCAGGUAAUUAAAUAUAAUAAAUAUAAUUAGAUCAACAAAAUUAAUUUAUAUAUGAUAAUGAACUGCGAAAUGAAUGAAAAUCUUUUGAGUAAGCAAACUGAUAAUAAUUUUUACCUUUAAUCUUAUAAAUUUCUUAAAUUUAAUGGCUUUGAAUUGUAAAAUGAAUUCAAAUAAUCUUUCAUUGAUAUGAGUUAAUAUUUGUUUUACAAUUUACAUUUGGCGUACAUUGAUCGUGUUUAAUAUGAAUUACAGUGUUAUUAUUUUGGAAACUUUAAUCUACACUUAAAAUAUAUUUUUAUUGUUGUAUUAUAUCAAUAAAAUAUUAAAACAGUUUUUUGUUAUUCAUAAAAUUAGAACUUCAAAAUUUAUCUAUUAUAAUUCUUAAAAAGUUUACAUAAUCCUUAGCAUAUUUGUGUAUUUUAUUUUUUGUAAUAUACCUGAAUGUAUUUAUAAAUGGUCUUGUCCGUAAAUAAGUGUAUAUGUAUAUUAUAUACAACAAAUAAAUAAAUAAUAAUUCAAAUACGUUUCUAAUCAUUAUUAGACCCCUAAGUUCUGUCAAGUUUGUUAGUAUUUAUUAGUUGUCCACUUUAUCUUCUUAUUUUAUCUCACCAUCUGUUUCACAUAACAUUAUAUUACUUUAGAGUAUGAAAAGGGUUAGGUAAGAUUUCUUUAUUAUUAAAUAAAAAGUUAUAAAUGUGUAUAUCAUAAACAUGUACAUAUAGUGUAUUUAACAUAUUAUAUUAUACACUUAGAUAUAUAAACCAAAUUUUUUGUUAAGAGUUAAUUCCUUAACACUUUUAUUAACUAUUAUGUUUUAUUUAAAUUUCUAUAGUAUAA